GCAGAGAACUUUCCAGAGAUGGAUUGGUGCCUUCGGGAACUCUGACACAGGUGCCGCAUGGCCGUCGUCAGCUCGUGUCGUGAGAUGUUGGGUUAAGUCCCGUAACGAGCGCAACCCCUAUCCUUAGUUGCUAGCAGUUCGGCUGAGAACUCUAGGGAGACUGCCGGUGACAAACCGAAGGAAGGUGGGGAUGACGUCAGGUCAUCAUGGCCCUUACGGCCAGGGCUACACACGUGCUACAAUGGUGCGCACAGAGGGCUGCAAACCCGCGAGGGGGAGCCAAUCUCACAAAACGCAUCGUAGUCCGGAUCGCAGUCUGCAACUCGACUGCGUGAAGUCGGAAUCGCUAGUAAUCGUGAAUCAGAAUGUCACGGUGAAUACGUUCCCGGGCCUUGUACACACCGCCCGUCACACCAUGGGAGUGGAUUGCACCAGAAGUGGUUAGUCUAACCUUCGGGAGGACGAUCACCACGGUGUGGUUCAUGACUGGGGUG
rnacentral:rRNA from 1 species